GACGAACGCUGGCGGCGUGCUUAACACAUGCAAGUCGAACGGUAAGGCUCCAGCUUGCUGGGGUACACGAGUGGCGAACGGGUGAGUAACACGUGGGUGACCUGCCCUGCACUUCGGGAUAAGCCUGGGAAACUGGGUCUAAUACCGGAUAGGACCAUGGUGUGGAUACUGUGGUGGAAAGUUUUUUCGGGGUGGGAGGGGCCCGCGGCCUUUCAGCUUGUUGGUGGGGUAUUGGCCUACCAAGGCGGCGAGGGGUAGCCGGCCUGAGAGGGUGGACGGCCACAUUGGGACUGAGACACGGCCCAGACUCCUACGGGAGGCAGCAGUGGGGAAUAUUGCACAAUGGGCGGAAGCCUGAUGCAGCGACGCCGCGUGGGGGAUGACGGCCUUCGGGUUGUAAACUCCUUUCACCAUCGACGAAGGGUUUCUGACGGUAGAUGGAGAAGAAGCACCGGCUAACUACGUG
rnacentral:rRNA from 1 species